AAAAAUAGUUAGGUUUAUUUGGGCUACAUGAAAUGAGGGCGCAGGAAAGGAAAAGGUUGAGCCGAAAAGUCUUAAAGGCCAUUAGUAAAAGGAAAAAAAAAGAUAAUCAUAAUAAAAAAAUAAAAGAAAAUACGCAAAAAUUAUGGGUCAUUAGAUGUGAAUACCAGGGGAGACGAAAACUCAUCUCAGGAUGUUGGAUCAGUUGACCAUCAGAGGGUUAACGGAUCAGAGGGUCAUGCUUAAGGGAUCAUGGUAAAGGUGGUGAACGCGCUUGUGUGGGAUUGAUCAAAGUAUGACCAUCCUGAGUCUUCCAAGGAGUCAUGUGUGGCUCAUCAAAGGGCGCAUGGAAGGGGUAUAUAAGUAGAAAUCCAUUCAGUCACUUUCAUUUCCCCCUUUCUUUCUCUCUCUAACUCUCUUUCUUCUUUCAGCCUCCCUCUUUACUCUUCAAGCCCUCUCCCUUCUCUCUAAAUAACCACCGUCCGAAAAUCUCUUCCACUAGUGGCGCCACCCUUGCCACCACUUGAACCACCCCUCUUCAACCACUUAAACCACCAUCUUCAACCGAUGUUCAUCCAGAUGAUGAUCACUAACCCAAAAAUCCAAAGAUCUCCAUCUUUAACCUUAGAACCCUAGGAACCCUAACCCUAACUAAAAAAACCUAACCCCAAACACAUGAACCCUAACCCUAAACACAUGAAACCUAACCCUAAACCUUCAACAAACACCUAAAAACUUCACAUCUUCAUCGUGUUCAUCAUGAUGAAGAUGAAUCUUCAUCUUCAACCUUCGGCCACAUGCAUAAUCUACCCAGAACUUACCAAAACCUAACCCAAAAUGAUCCAAACUUUCACCAAAACAUAGAUCGUCCCUCCCUAAUCACAAAUCAAAACGUCAUACACGAAGAUCAAACCAAUAAUUUCAAACCCUAAAACCUAUAUCUUCUUAUGUUAACCCUAAACCAAACCCCUUAACUCAAACAAAAUAAAAAGUAAACAAACCUGUUAUACAUCUACCUUGUUAACAUUCAAAUACAAACAUCCAGACAAGCAAACCAAUAAACAAAAAGAUGGCAAUAUGGUAUUAAGAGCAAGGAAAAUAAGUCAUCAAGGAGAUCGAAUGGGAUGUCAACCUAUAGAGAUAAGGGGUUCUCUGAUGAAGGUAAGGUCUUUAACUCUUUUGAAUUCUCUUUCUUUCUUUUGCUUUAUGUCUAGAUUGUUUGUAACUUCUCUUCUUUUCUUUCUUUGGGUGCGAGCUGUGACUUGGAUUUGGUGGUUGGCUGCUGAGACAAAGAUGAAACAAAAUCUUUUAAGAAGGAUUAAAAUUGGAUUUGAUCAGAUGAUAUGUAUAUGAUAAACUCUCAUAGAAUAAAGCCUUUUGUCCUAACUCAAGUGGAUUUAGUCUAAUCCAAGGAACUCAACAACUAGACAUAUGCCCUAAUGGAGACUAUUUAAAAUUAGUGAGAUAAAUAAAAAAAUAAUGAUUAAAAUUUGGGAUAUGACACAUACUAAUAAAGAUUAAAAUGAGCUUAAAUUGAUUUUUUAAAAAGAAAAAUAGACAAAAUUCAAACUUUAUAAUGACAUUCGUUUAUAGAAGAACAGUGAGAGAUUUUGUAAUUAAAAAUAAAAAUAUUAUAAUAAUUAUUAGAUAAAAUAAAAAGAGUUAAUAGCUAAAAAAAAGUUAAUAAAAAAAAAGUAAAAUCAUUUAGGCUAACUCAUAUGGUUUUCUAGUUUUUAUAUUUUUUUUUACCAAAGAAAAACUAAAAAACCUUAUGGUUUUCUAAUUUUUAUAUUUAUUUAUCAAAAUUAUAGGGACGGACUUACCGCAAAAUUUUGUAAAUUUUCUAAAUAAUUUAUUUCCCACUCUUUAUUAAUAUUACUAAUAAAAAUUUAAAAUAAAAACAUAAAUUCUUAUUUCCCACUCUUUAUUAAUAUUACUAAUAAAAAAAUUAAAAGAAAAACCUAAAUCUUUCACAUCUCUUUUAUCAUAAACCCUUCAUUUCUCUCUCUCUCUCACCAGAAACCCUUCGCUAUCUCUCCUGAAUCGUAAAUUGAAGCCCUCCAUCUCUCUCACCAUGAAAACUCUCUUAAUUGUAAAUUGAAAUUGUCAAUCGCUCUGAAAGUUAUCCUAUUUUGACCUUUCUUUGAAUGAUUUUGACCUCUCUUUAUCACCAAACGAUUCCGACCUCUCUCUAUCACCAAACAAUUCCAACCUCUCUUCCUCUUCGAACAAUUUCGACCUCUGUCAUAUUUUCUCUCUCGGGAUCUGUUUGGGAGCUUGGAGGGAAAGAGAGGGGAGGAUUUUUAAAAAUUGAAGGAUUUUGGUUGAGAGGGUUUUGGAGGAUUGAUUUUUAUUCAUAAAUUAAAAAAAUUUCUAAUUUAUUUUAUAUUGAAGGAGGAUUUUGUGGCUAAAAUUUUUAAAUAUAUUUUAUAUUGUUAUAGUAUUAUGAAAAUUAAAAAUAUAAGAAUGAUAAAUUCUCUUUUAUCCUUCUACACAAAAUCAUUCAUGUCAAAUAUUUUUCAAUUUUUUUAUAAAAAAUCAUUUUUCAGAAGUCUUCUCUUCCCAUCACCUCCAAACUCAAAAACAAAUCCACAAUAUCUUUGAUCGGUCCCGUCUUUGAGUGUAAUGUGAUUGAUUUUAUCUUCACCAUGCUUUGAGUUUGAGAUUUUUAUGUAUUUGAAUGUGAGAAUAUAUCAUUUUUCUUUAAACUACU
rnacentral:lncRNA from 1 species